UACGUAGGUGGCAAGCGUUGUCCGGAUUUACUGGGCGUAAAGAGCGCGCAGGCGGCCGAGUAAGUCGAAUGUGAAAGCCCCCGGCUCAACUGGGGAAGGUCAUUCGAUACUGUUCGGCUUGAAGAUAGGAGAGGGAAGCGGAAUUUCAGGUGUAGUGGUGAAAUGCGUAGAGAUCCGGAGGAACACCAGAGGCGAAAGCGGCGCUCUGGGCUGCACCUGACGCUGAACUGCGAAAGCCAGGGGAGCGAACGGG
rnacentral:rRNA from 1 species